GAUGAACGCUGGCGGCGUGCCUAAUACAUGCAAGUCGAGCGAACAGACGAGGAGCUUGCUCCUCUGACGUUAGCGGCGGACGGGAGAGUAACACGUGGAUAACCUACCUAUAAGACUGGGAUAACUUCGGGAAACCGGAGCUAAUACCGGAUAAUAUAUUGAACCGCAUGGUUCAAUAGUGAAAGACGGUUUUGCUGUCACUUAUAGAUGGAUCCGCGCCGCAUUAGCUAGUUGGUAAGGUAACGGCUUACCAAGGCAACGAUGCGUAGCCGACCUGAGAGGGUGAACGGCGACACUGGGACUGAGACACGGUACAGACUCCUACGGGAGGCAGCAGUAGGGAAUCUUCCGCAAUGGGCGAAAGCCUGACGGAGCAACGCCGCGUGAGUGAUGAAGGUCUUCGGAUCGUAAAACUCUGUUAUGAGGGAAGAACAAAUGUGUAAGUAACUAUGCACGUCUUGACGGUACCUAAUCAAAAAGCAACGGCUAACUACGUG
rnacentral:rRNA from 1 species